rnacentral:tRNA from 2 species
GCCCAGGUGGCGGAAUUGGUAGACGCGCACGGUUCAGGUCCGUGUGGCCGAAAGGUCGUGGAAGUUCGAGUCUUCUUCUGGGCA